rnacentral:rRNA from 1 species
UACGUAGGCAGCGAGCGUUGUUCGGAAUUACUGGGCGUAAAGCGCGUGUAGGCGGUUCGGAAAGUCGGGUGUGAAAGCCCUGGGCUCAACCCAGGAAGUGCACUCGAAACUCCCGAACUAGAGUCCUGGAGAGGAAGGCGGAAUUCUCGGUGUAGAGGUGAAAUUCGUAGAUAUCGAGAGGAACAUCGGUGGCGAAGGCGGCCUUCUGGACAGCGACUGACGCUGAGACGCGAAAGCGUGGGGAGCAAACAGG